AUUGAACGCUGGCGGCAGGCCUAACACAUGCAAGUCGAGCGGAUGAAGGGAGCUUGCUCCUGGAUUCAGCGGCGGACGGGUGAGUAAUGCCUAGGAAUCUGCCUGGUAGUGGGGGAUAACGUCCGGAAACGGGCGCUAAUACCGCAUACGUCCUGAGGGAGAAAAGUGGGGGAUCUUCGGACCUCACGCUAUCAGAUGAGCCUAGGUCGGAUUAGCUAGUUGGUGGGGUAAAGGCCUACCAAGGCGACGAUCCGUAACUGGUCUGAGAGGAUGAUCAGUCACACUGGAACUGAGACACGGUCCAGACUCCUACGGGAGGCAGCAGUGGGGAAUAUUGGACAAUGGGCGAAAGCCUGAUCCAGCCAUGCCGCGUGUGUGAAGAGGGUCUUCGGAUUGUAAAGCACUUUAAGUUGGGAGGAAGGGCGAGUAAGUUAAUACCUUGCUGUUUUGACGUUACCAACAGAAUAAGCACCGGCUAAACUUCGUGCCAGCAGCCGCCGUAAU
rnacentral:rRNA from 1 species